GUUUUACAGAUGCAACGGAUACGUCAGGAUGACCACGGAUUUUUCUACAAGUUCUUUCGCAAGGCGCCGCAGCUCUUCGACAAGCUAAUGAGCUUUUUAGCAGAGGACCUCACACGGCAGCACCACAUUCGAGAAACCCCUGGAGCCUGGAGAACGACUUGCUGUAGCAUUGAGCUACUUGGCAUCCCGGUAAGACAUAAAAGACGUUGCCUUGACUUACUGUGUGGGGAUUGAGGCGGCUAGACUCUGCAGUGGUGUGUAAGUCAUAUAGUGGCGAUCCUGCCUGCAAAGUAUUAAACAACUGCAGAACAG
rnacentral:misc_RNA from 1 species